GCCCGGGUGGUGGAACUGGUAGACACAAGGGACUUAAAAUCCCUCGGCCGUAAGGCUGUGCGGGUUCAAGCCCCGCCCUGGGCACCA
rnacentral:tRNA from 2 species